UGGGGAAUUUUGGACAAUGGGCGCAAGCCUGAUCCAGCAAUGCCGCGUGCAGGAUGAAGGCCUUCGGGUUGUAAACUGCUUUUGUACGGAACGAAAAGCCCUGGGUUAAUACCCUGGGGUCAUGACGGUACCGUAAGAAUAAGCACCGGCUAACUACGUGCCAGCAGCCGCGGUAAUACGUAGGGUGCGAGCGUUAAUCGGAAUUACUGGGCGUAAAGCGUGCGCAGGCGGUUUUGUAAGACAGAGGUGAAAUCCCCGGGCUCAACCUGGGAACUGCCUUUGUGACUGCAAGGCUAGAGUACGGCAGAGGGGGAUGGAAUUCCGCGUGUAGCAGUGAAAUGCGUAGAUAUGCGGAGGAACACCGAUGGCGAAGGCAAUCCCCUGGGCCUGUACUGACGCUCAUGCACGAAAAGCGUGGGGAGCAAACAGGAUUAGAUACCCCUGGUAGUCCACGCCCUAAACGAUGUCAACUGGUUGUUGGGUCUUAACUGACUCAGUAACGAAGCUAACGCGUGAAGUUGACCGCCUGGGGAGUACGGCCGCAAGGUUGAAACUCAAAUGAAUUGAC
rnacentral:rRNA from 1 species